rnacentral:rRNA from 1 species
UACGUAGGGCGCAAGCGUUGUCCGGAAUUAUUGGGCGUAAAGAGCUCGUAGGCGGCCUGUUGCGUCCGCUGUGAAAUCCCGGGGCUCAACCCCGGGCCUGCAGUGGAUACGGGCUGGCUAGAGGCAGGCAGGGGAGAACGGAAUUCCUGGUGUAGCGGUGAAAUGCGCAGAUAUCAGGAGGAACACCGGUGGCGAAGGCGGGAUCCUGGGCCAGUACUGACGCUGAGGAGCGAAAGCGUGGGGAGCAAACAGG